rnacentral:rRNA from 1 species
ACUCCUACGGGAGGCAGCAGUGGGGAAUUUUCCGCAAUGGGCGAAAGCCUGACGGAGCAAUGCCGCGUGAAGGUAGAAGGCCUACGGGUCAUGAACUUCUUUUCCCGGAGAAGAAGCAAUGACGGUAUCCGGGGAAUAAGCAUCGGCUAACUCUGUGCCAGCAGCCGCGGUAAUACA